CAGCACAUUUACAUGCACAAACCAUUGGAGAACUCCAGCUGGUACUGUGAUCCAGCUAUUCAUUAUGUUUCCAGAUGGUUUGUGUGCAGACAUAAUUUCAGGCUAUCUUCAGUUGCUGCUCACUGUAGAUUCGACAGUGAAAUAUUUAGUUGAGAAAUGAGAUAAAAAGUUAGCCAUUUAAGCUAUGUUUCACAAACAGUCGGCAUUAGAAAAGUGAAUCAAAUUGCCUUCAUGGACAUAGAACAGUGUAUAGCAGACAGGGCAGUGAAAGCUGUAUGUCGCCAAGAUAUAAAUCUCACAGCUAAAACAUCGCUUCCCCCCAGAAUUUCCACACCCCUUGUGCGAACAAACCAUGCUCUGUUGACUGUUGUUCACUAUGAUGGAGAUUUUUUAUGUUACCAUUUUGAUUACAGGAAGCUUGCACUCUCUCAAUUAUCAUUGGUCGUUGCGCCAAGGGCAAUUCAGAGUUUUAGGUUGUAUCAUGGGCUCGUAUGGCAGGUCCUACAAAAAAGACGUACUAAGGCGGAACAGCGAGGCAUCACCAUUGGCCACGGGCAGGGAGAGAAGGCGGGUCAACAGCGGACUUUCAGGGGGCAUUGAUUCCCUGCGGUUAGGAGGCAGGGAGGACGGAGAAGGGCUGGGGCACGCCGAGCAGCCCCCAUGGAGAAAUGGAGGCCUAUCACUGUUUUGUUUUGACAUUAUAUACUGUAAUAAACUUGAAGCUCUGCCCAUCAUACUAUGCAGACUGCAGUGUGUUCUCUUGCACUGUCUAAAGUACAAAAUAAAAAAGGGCAACUAGAGGUUUUACUUCUCUUCAACAAGGAGGCCGGCCUGUGGUUGGGCCUCGGCGCGUUUCCUCAUUCAUUCUUUGACCGCUAGAGGAAGCUUGCGCUCUCUCAAUUAUCAUUGGUCGUUGCGCCAAGGGCACUUGAUAGUUUUAGGUUGCAUCAUGGUCUCAUAUGGCAGGUCUCACAAAAAAGACGUACUAAGGUUAGUAGCUGCUACAACUGAAGUUAUUAUUCAUGCAACUGCAUGGUUUCUAUUGUUUGCCUUGUAAUGAAACAAUAAUGCCAAGGUCAUUCAAAUUAUCUGGGCUAAUAGUGUCUGUUGUAGAAACUUGUUUGCUUGUAGCUAUAAUUGUUUCCUAUUGUUUGUCUGAUCACAGAACUACAAUGUAAACAAGACCAUGGUUGGCAUUAGCUAUUGUGGAA